rnacentral:tRNA from 1 species
GGGUCAAUAUUUUAAUAUAAUUAAAAUAAUAGUCUGCAAAACUAUAGAUAGGACAUGAGUCUUUUGUCUCG